UAUGCUCCUGAUAUUGCUGGGCAGGAUAAAGCAAACCCCUUGGCAACCAUACUAAGUGCUGCAAUGCUUUUGAAAUAUGGUCUGGGUGAAGUGAAGGUAGCUGAGAGGAUCGAAUUGGCUGUGCUAAUACUUUAAAUGAGAAAUUGGUUGGAUGCAAGGAGAUGGGUGAACAACGGGGCUGUGGAAGGCGACCCCUAAUGUCCAUAUGGAACUCAAGACAUAUUGUUGAUGGCUUUAAUGAUGUUUGUAGGUGUUGUACAUAUGGAACCCAAGACAUAUUUUAGUGGUUUAUGAAAUGUAUCCAUAUGCAUAUGUAUAUUUGACAGUCAUAGGGAAUAGGUGUUUGAUUAAAUCAUGUCAUUAAUUUUGUGUUGGGUUUUGUAUCAAAUUAAAUCAUGUCACUAAUGAUGAAUUAAGUCUCU